GAACUCGGUUGAAUGAACUAGGCAAAAUGGCACCGUAACUUCGGGAGAAGGUGCGGCUUUGAGGGUGAAGAAAUUGCUGCGUAAGCCCACGCCGGUCGAAGAUACCAGUCCGCUGCGACUGUUUAUUAAAAACACAGCACUCUUCAAUCACGAUAGUGGACGUAUAGGGUGUGUCUCAUGCCCGGUGCCGGAUUGUUAAUUGAUGGUGUUAGCGCAAGCGAAGCUCUUGAUCGU
rnacentral:rRNA from 1 species